UNCUGAGUUGCCUAGGCUGGCCUGAAUC
rnacentral:piRNA from 1 species